rnacentral:rRNA from 1 species
UUGACCUCGGAUCAGGCAGGGAUACCCGCUGAACUUAAGCAUAUCAAUAAGCGGAGGAAAAGAAACCAACAGGGAUUGCCUCAGUAACGGCGAGUGAAGCUGCAACAGCUCAAAUUUGAAAUCUGGCUCUUUUAGGGUCCGAGUUGUAAUUUGUAGAGGAUGCUUCGGCGUCGGCUCCGGUCUAAGUUCCUUGGAACAGGACGUCAUAGAGGGUGAGAAUCCCGUAUGUGAUCGGUUGCCCUUGCCAUGUGAAGCUCCUUCGACGAGUCGAGUUGUUUGGGAAUGCAGCUCUAAAUGGGAGGUAAAUUUCUUCUAAAGCUAAAUACUGGCCAGAGACCGAUAGCGCACAAGUAGAGUGAUCGAAAGAUGAAAAGCACUUUGGAAAGAGAGUCAAAAAGUACGUGAAAUUGUUGAAAGGGAAGCGCUUGCAACCAGACCUGCCUGCAGUUGCUCAUCCGGGCUUUUGCCCGGUGCACUCUUCUGCUAUCAGGCCAGCAUCAGUUCGGGCGGUCGGAUAAAGGCUUCGGGAAUGUAGCUCCUCUCGAGGAGUGUUAUAGCCCGUUGCGAAAUGCGGCCAGCCUGAACUGAGGUCCGCGCUCGGCUAGGAUGCUGGCGUA